rnacentral:rRNA from 1 species
CCUACGGGGGACAGCAGUGAGGAAUAUUGGUCAAUGGGCGCUAGCCUGAACCAGCCAAGUAGCGUGAAGGAUGACUGCCCUAUGGGUUGUAAACUUCUUUUAUAUGAGAAUAAAGUGCAGUAUGUGUACUGCUUUGCAUGUACCUUAUGAAUAAGGAUCGGCUAACUCCGUGCCAGCAGCCGCGGUAAUACGGAGGAUCCGAGCGUUAUCCGGAUUUAUUGGGUUUAAAGGGUGCGUAGGCGGGUUGUUAAGUCAGUGGUGAAAUGUUGCGGCUCAACCGUAAAAUUGCCGUUGAUACUGGCAUCCUUGAGUACAGUAGAGGUAGGCGGAAUGCGUGGUGUAGCGGUGAAAUGCUUAGAUAUCACGAAGAACACCGAUUGCGAAGGCAGCCUGCUGGACUGUAACUGACGUUGAUGCUCGAAAGUGUGGGUAGCAAACAGGAUUAGAUACCCUUGUAGUC